rnacentral:rRNA from 1 species
CACGUAGGCACCAAGCGUUGUCCGGAUUUAUUGGGCGUAAAGAGCUCGUAGGCGGUUCAGUAAGUCGGGUGUGAAAACUCUGGGCUUAACCCGGAGAGGCCACUCGAUACUGCUGAACUUGAGUACGGUAGGGGAGUGGGGAAUUCCUGGUGUAGCGGUGAAAUGCGCAGAUAUCAGGAGGAACACCGGUGGCGAAGGCGCCCCUCUGGGCCGAAACUGACGCUGAGGAGCGAAAGCGUGGGUAGCAAACAGG